UCUACUGAACAGUCAUGAGGAAAAUGCCAU
rnacentral:piRNA from 1 species